rnacentral:lncRNA from 1 species
ACCGAGCUAAGCCCUAGCAAUCAAAUCAAGCGCAGAAGUAAGAGGAAGGAGAGACCGAAAACUAAGCAAAAAAGGAGAAGAGCUCACACACAGAAUUGAAAAGACACUUACUUGAGGUAAAAUUCGUCGGAGUAUCGUCGGAGUCGCAAAACUCCGGCGUCAUCCUUCACCCCUUUAUUCAACCUUUCCAAGGCAUUACAGCUCCAUGUAGUCGCCGAUUGCAUGUGUGAUUUGAUGAUUCGUUACUUAUUCAUGAUUGUUUGAGUUAAGUCUGGACUAUUGUAGAUUUGUAAGAAGCUUUGCUAUUUUUGGUUUGAGUUGGUUAUGUUUUUUGUUUUGUUGUGGGUUUUGUUUCUUUUUGUUGAAAUAGGAAAUCGGUUUGCUCGGAUCUACUGAGAUUUUGAUGAUGAACACCAUGAGGUAUUCAUCUUUGGUUCUGGAAUUUUAGGUGGUUCGUUUUUUUUGUUUAAAUUGGGCUUUGGUUUUGUUUUGUUGGAAGAAGAUGAAUGGAUUUCAGUUUGCAGGAGAAAGUUUUGUUCGGUUGAGGUGUGUAGGUAGGGAGAGAGGGAGUGAACGAAUGAGGUGAGGUUAUCUUUUUUCACUGUGUUUGUUUUUAUGCUUUUAUUCUAAGUCGUACCAAGUGGUGAGAUGGGGAUACGUGUAGGAAACUAAUGAUGCAUGUUGUUUUCUUUUAUUGCAUCGCUUUUCUCGAAAUCAUUUAUGGUAGUGGUUGGAAUAUGGACCGUUAAUGGUGAAUUAUCCAUUUUUGUUUCGUUCCCCCACGCGUCUGGUUGGUUGGUGCAAAGGAUUUGUUUGACUCCCUUCUAUAUUUGGGCCAAAUCCGGGUUUGGGUCUUCCUGGAGGGCCAACCCGGUGCAUUUUCCCCUUUUGGGUUGUAUCCACGGUAGCAUUUGGGUUGGAUCUAGUUUAGAUCCUUUAACUUCUUUUCUUUUCUUUUCUUUAGUCAUUUUCUUGUUUUAUUUGUUUAUAGAAUUAAACUAAUUAAUUAAAUUUCUGAUAAUUAUGAAAUUCUAAUUAGGUUAGUUAAGGAAUUAAUUUUGUUUUUAUUCAAUCAACAUGAUAAAAAAAUGUUAAAUUUAAUUUAUUAGUUAAAAUAGAGUUAAUUAUUUUUACCCUAGAUAAUUGUUCUCAUUAGGGUUAUUCCUCUACAAUAUCAUGCCCAUUUUUCUUAUUCAUUUAAAUAAUAUGCUUCGGUCAUGAGAUAUGCUCGCUUGUAUUCGUCUAAAAAAUUCAAUGUUGACGUUUGUGAAAACUCUAACCUUAAGGUAAACCUAUCAAAAUGUUCAAAUACGAAAUCCUUGGCCCAACACCAAGUGAUCUUUCUCAAAUCCGAUUAAAACCUUGCCAAAUUCAAAUCCAAAUCAUUUUUUAUUAAUGUACUUCUUAUAAACUUUUAAUUCUAAAUUUUAGAUGAAAAGGGGUAUAGUAAGCGUCCGCUUCACUAUCUCUCGAGUCUUCCAAUAAUUGGCGUUCGCCAUAUUGCUCGAAUUCUCGUCGUCUAAUUAAAACCCUAAACUAAAAAUUCAAAUCACUUUCCCUAAAUUAAGUAAAAUUUCUAAAGACUUUUUUAUAAUUUAAAUUUUAGAUGAAAAGGGGUAUUGUAAGCGUCCGAUUCACUAUCUCUCGAGUCUUCGAAUAAUUGGCGUUCUCCAUAUUGCUCGAAUUCUCAUCGUCUAAUUAAGACAUUAAUCGUACAAAAUUCAAAUCAUUAUCUCUAAAUCAAUAUGAACUCCUAAAGACUCUCUUUUAUAAUUUAAACUUGGAAUGAAAAGGAGUAUAAGAAGCGUCCGCUUCACUAUCUCUCAAAUAUUCGAACGAUUGGCGCUCGCCAUAUUGCUCAAAAUUUCGUCGGCCAAUUGAAAUACACUAAAUGAACUUGGAUAAAGGAAUGGGGGGUGCACACCUCAUCAUUCCUUGAAUAAGCAAGUGGGAGGCGCACGCCUCAAUACCGUGCAUAUUCGAUUUCCGCAAACAAACUUUUAACAAUAAUUUAAAUGAAAAAAGGGAAUAAAAGGCAUUCGCCUUAUUAAUCCUCGAAAGAUUGAAUAAUUGGUGUGCACCAUAUUGCUCAAUUUUUUGUCGUUCUUCUGAAACAUACCAAACACUAAACUUAAUUCCUCGCCCUUGUGCGACCAAUAACUUAAUUCUUUUCAAAAAGAACAUUGUUUAAUCCUUUUUGACGCACACAAGAAACUAGUGCUUAAGCCACCGCCGAGAGUAGACAAGCCAACAUUUAGCCUUUAGAACGUGAUCUAAACAGACGUUCAUUAAAAGACACCAAUGAACCGUAGUUCCCCGAACUACGAAUGCUCUGAUUUCCUUAUUGCACCAUAAGGAUACGUAGGCACGAGAUUACAAGAUCUUGACGAGCACACUAAUAAAAAAACCUCUAUCUUCCCCCUUCUGAGGUUUCAAUCUAUCUCUUUUCAAUAUUUUUAUCACUCGAAGAAAACAAACAACAUUCAACUAACAUUCAAAUUGCAAAUUAAACUAAAAGUUUUCCGUUGAGUACAACGAACGUGAAGGGUGCUAAUACCUUCCCAUUGCGUAAUCGACUCCUGAACCCGAAUAUGGUUGCGACGACCAUUAUUCUAUUUUCUAAAGGUUUUAUCGAUAUUUUCCUAUUCCUUCAUUGGGAUAAAUAAAGUUUGGUGGCGACUCUAUUCGAACUAAUUUUUUCCGCGACCAUCGCGAGGAAUCGUAUUUUUCGAGAAGCGACAAAUGGCGACUCUGCUGGGGAAUUUUAGCUCCAAGCUAGAGAGAGUCAAUCCUAACUUAGUUUGAUUUCUGAUGAAUGUUAAAUUACUGUUUUUCUUCAUUAUUUGCUUUUGUAUAUCUUGAUGUAUUGUUUAUGCUAUGUGACUUAUUCUGCUAUUAUAUUGGGUGAUCUAUGGUGUUUGACACACGUUGUGAGAUAAGCUCUGUACCUGAGCUUUGAGAAGAACUUAGAACCCGGAGUUGUGUAGUAUCAAACCGAUGGGUAUACACCUUGUUGGGACAAUACAAAUACUCCACCUAGAGUAGAUAUGUUCGGAAUUUCCAUCACAGUAUGGCUAGCCCAUUAUUGCGAGGGAACUUUGAACAUGAUCCGUGACUCUAGGAACCCCGCCUUAAACUGAAGUCCGUCUUCAUGAUUAACGAUUGUGUAGAAUUGAACCGAAGGGUCUACACCCUGUUCAAACAAUACGAAGAUCCCACUUAGAGUAGAUUGAUUCAAAACUUCCAUCUUGAUGUGGCUAGUCCAUUAUUACGAUGGAAUACUGAACAUAAUCCAUGACUCUAAGUUUUUGUCUUGACAACGGACGACCUUAGGAGCUAUCCUUUGUGUGUGGGGUAAAGGACAUAGAACCACCAUUUAGGGUGUACCAUGUGAUAUAUAUGAAACAUGGAGCCCUGUCAUUGCAUAAAACUCAUAUUGCAUUCAUUAUGAGCAUAACAAGAUCAUUUACACAUUUUCUAUUUUCAGGGAAUUUCAAAAUUUUCAGUUGAUUAAGCAUUCAAGAAUAGAUGGAGCCAGAAAAGAGAAAAACAUUCCAAAUCAAAGCCAAAGUACCAUGUGUGAAAGAGUUCAUUGCAUUCAGAGACGGGUUGACUAAUAUCCGUCGAGACGUGUUCCUGCUCAAAUAUGGGAAGAUUCUACACUUGUUAUAUGUACCAGUACAAAAGGAUGUUAUUACCGCACUAGCCCGGUUUUAUGAUCUACCACUCAGAAGUUUCCUCUUUAGAGAUUCCCAGUUGGCUCCAACUUUGGAGGAAUUCAGAAAAAUAUUGGACUCUCCUAAAUAGAAGAAAGGACCUUCUAGGGGACUGGGUCAAAUCUAAAAACCCAAGGAGCUGGCAGAAGUAUUGGAUAUUCCAAUUGAAGAUCUAACCCCUAACAUCAAAAUUUGGGGAAAGGUACAAGGAAUUCCUCAAGAAUACUUGGAUAAGACUGCUCAAAUCUUCGGCAAAGCCCAGAAGUGGGAAGCCUAUGACACUAUUAUGGCAUUAAUCAUUUUUGGAUUGGUGUUAUUUCCUAAUGUGGAGAAGUUGGUGGAUGUAGCAUCUAUUAGUGUGUUUUGGGCCGUUAAGGUUAAGAACGAAGAUCCGGUGCCCGCACUUCUGGCAGAUGUUUAUCACACCUUACACUUACGCUUCGAAAAGAAUGGGGGAUUGAUGUUAUGUUGCAUACCGCUCCUUUACCAUUGGUUUGUCUCUCAUGUGUUCAAAGAUGCUGAUACGGUUGAGAGGAUGGAUUGAUAUGAGUGGUCUCAAAAGCUGGUAAGACUCACAGAAAAUGCCAUUAUUUGGUACCCUCAUGGUUUGAACGUGAGAGAUGCAAUUACUAGUUGUGGAGACUUUUCGAAUGUACCAUUAAUAGGGUCAAAGGGUUGCAUUAACUAUAAUAUUGUCCUAACAGUGAGGCAAUUGGGUUAUCCUAUCACAUACAAGCCAUAUGACUAGUUGUUAGAAGGUUUUGUGUUUCAUGAUAUGGAAGACCCCGUUAUGUUGAGAAGGGUUGUCCGAGCCUGGGAAAAGUUCGUUUCAAGGGACAAGACAAAGGAAAGGGCGUUAUAGGAGAUAGAGAACCCUAUUAUCAGUAGGUCACAAAGAGAAGUCAAAAGGUCAAGCUUCCAUUCAUCCUUGAUCCUCCUACUAAACCUCCACCACCAGAACCUAUCCCUGUCUCCACUAAGGAGGUGGAAGCAUUGAAAGCUACUAUAGCAAGACUCGGGAGAGAAAAUGAAGAGUUGCAGAUCAGCCUCCAGCAAGUUUCAAAUGAAAGAAAUAAUAUGAAGUGGGAACUAGAAUAGAAAAAGGCUCAGCUAGAGGAAACUGAGGAAAAGGUCGAUAAAGAAGAGCACAAGAGAAAGAAGGUGAAAGUGGGCACAGAACAAGUUGACCUCUACUUAGAAACUAUCAAAGAACAAUUGAAACAAGUUGAGAAAGAAUGCCAAAAGAAUAAGCGAUGGUGGUUACGAGAAACAGAAGAAAAGAAAGAAGUUAGAGAGGAAUUAGAGGCUAAGAUACAUGAUCUCACUAUCUCUCUUCAUAACGCUGAAACCCACGCGGAGCACGAGCGUCGACUCAAGGAAAGAGCCCUUGAAGCUUUUCGGGUCGCACCUGGGAUUUAGGUUGAGAAAUGUCAAGAAGCAAAGGAUGCCAGAGAAUACGCUCAACAUUGGAAAGACAGACUUGAAGCCUUCCAUCAAGAUAGUGUAAUAUGGUUAAAAGAGAGAGAGCAGGUUAUCGAGGACUACGAUACAUUCAGAAAAACUAUCAACUUCUUGCAAAAGGACAAAAAUGGGUACCGUGUAAAGCUCAAUGAUUUGGUGGAAUUCUAUAAUUGGAUGGCCUGGGAUAUGCCUUGGAGAUUGAGGGAGGCAGUGGAAGGACUGGACCAAGAUGGCACACAUCCCGAUGUGGUCGGUUUUGUUAUGAUGUGUGAGGGAAUGGUGAAGAAGUUCAAGUUUGAGUUGGAAGAACUUAUAACCCAAAAAUCUGUUGUGUGAUUUUUCCAUUUUUCUUGUACUCAGUUUAUGCUUUCGCAAGAGUUUAGUAUUUGAGUUGUAUUGGUUCGGGCGGUUAUGCCUUUGUAUUCCGUACUUUGACAAAUUGAAUGAAUGAGGAUGAUCCUCACUUUUUGUUUCUUCGAAUGCUUAAUAAAACUACAACCAUUAUGAAUAAUUCCCUAGAAAUAAAAAGGAAAAACAUCUUUCUCAUUUGCAUGCAUCUACCCCCAUCACACAUUUCAUUUCAUAAAACUUACACAACCUUUUUACCCUCUAUCCAGUAACGCUGACUAAUCAACACCGAUACGAGACGCGAAAUAACUACAGGAUGACGUUGGAGCAAGUUGAGGCUAAUCAGGCCACUAUGAGGACAGACAUCACCGUUAUCCAAGAGAAGAUGGAUCAAUUACUAGAGACGAUGCUAGCAAUUGCCCAAAGAGAAAGGGUUAUGGAAGCAGAAACUGGAAUGAGGAAAAAUGACAGUCAUAUUGGCACAUCAGGACUGGUCAAUCAGGAUCAGAGCUUCACUCACGCGAAGAAGAUCUUUGUUCACAUACCAGUAGGGAACAAAGGGGAUGGAGAUCAUGUGGAGCCUUCUAAUGCAUCCGCUCAACAUGGGUCUAAAAUGGGAGGAGAUGAUCCAUACGACGCUUUUUAUGUACCAGAUCCACCAAAGCCUAAGGUUCUUCCAGAUCCCACUGCAGAAAGGCUUCACGCCUUAGAGAAGAAGAUCAAGGCUAUAGAGGGGAAUAACAUAUUUGGUUCCGCUGCCAUGAAUGUGUGAUUGGUGUCAAAUUUGGUCAUCCCGACUAAAUUUAAAACUCCUGAUUUUGAGAAAUACAAAGGCUAGACUUGUCCGAGAAGUCAUUUGGUGAUGUAUUUGAGAAAAAUGGUUGCCCAUACUGAGAACGACAAGCUGCUCAUACACUGUUUUAGGAUAGUUUAAGUGGGACAUCCUUAAGGCGGUACAUGAGUCUGGUGCAAGGGCGAAUCCAAAGUUAGGAGGACUUGGCUGAUGCUUUCCUUCGUCAAUACAAAUACAAUCUGGAUAUGGCACCCAAUCGUAUGCAGCUACAAGGGAUGGUCAUGAACGAGAAGGAAUCAUUUAAAGAAUACGCCCAAUGAUAGAGAGAGUUGGUUGCUCAAGUUGAACCUCCAUUGUCAGAGAAGGAAAUGACCAGAAUAUUCGUGGAUACGCUCAAGGACCCUUUCUUUGAUAGAUUGGUGAACAAUGUAGCGUCAAAUUUUGCUCACUUAGUGACGAUUGGAGACCGCAUAGAAAAAGGUUUAAGGGAUGGAAAAAUCCAAGGAGCUGCUGUAACCCCCAAUGCACCGAAAAAGUAUUUUGGAGGUUUCCAAAAGAAAAAAGAAGGUGAUACUAACGCUAUAUCAAGGGGUUAUAAGGGUAAGCAACAAACCUCAUACGACCAUGUCACCGCUGUGGUACCUAUACCAUACCAGGAACCAACACAACAACAACACGUUUAUCAGUAACAACCUCCACAACAACGGCAACAAUAGAAUGCCGUUCCACAAUGACAGUUCAAGCCAAGGCCACCACGAAGGCAACUUGACCCUUGACCUGUGCCUUAUUGCCAUAUAUUUCCAUACCUGCAAAAGGAGGGACUGUUGACCUUGAGAGAGUUAAAGUCAGCCACUUUCCCAUACCCUCUCGGGUAUGAUGCUAACGCCCACUGUGAGUUUCAUGUGGGAGCACUUGGCCAUACUCUAGAAAAUUGCUAUGCUUUCCAGAACCAUGUGCAAGAUUUGAAUGAGGCUAAGGAUAUCACCUUCACCCCGAGACGCCCAAAUGUAAACACCAAUCCCAUGCCGACACAUGGAGGUGCGUCAGUCAGUGCCAUUGAAGAGAUUGAUAAGGGUGAGCUAAUCAAGAAAGUGGAAGAAAUACAAACUCCUAUAGUCGUGAUAGGUACACAAUUAUUGAAGAUUGGUCAGAUCCCAAUAGACCUAGUUGGUAAAGAAAAGGUUGAAGAUUUGAAGAGUUUUAUCCAGCAAAUGUUGGAUCAAGGUGAAUAGGCACGAAGGAAAAAGAAAUAGUCGUGAUUGAUAUUCCGUACGACGCAGUCAACAUGGAAAUCCCCAUCACUUUGUUGGUGAUAGAAUUUCUGGCACCUUUCAAAUACAAAGAUGAAAAAGCAGUACCAUGGAUAUAUCAGCCCAGAGCUUUUAAGCAGGGGCAGGAAGACCAACCUUUGGUCAUCAAUGAGCCAAAUGUUACAUUGAUUGUGGGACCAGCCGGGAUGACACGUAGUGGCCGCGUAUUUGCGCCAAGAACCGUUGAUACGUCCGCCAAAGCUAAAGGGAAGGAAGUUGAUACUCAUGUACAAAUCCAUAUUCCAAAUCUUGAAUUAAAAGAGAUGCACCUAUCCCCGAAAGCUGCUGUCACCCGCGAGGAGGCUGAGGAAUUUCUGAGGAUAAUUAAGAAGAGUGACUACAAGGUAGUGGAUCAACUGAAUCAAACACCUUCGAAGAUCUCCAUGUUGUCCUUAUAACUUAGCUCAGAGGCACACCAAGAUUCAUUAAUGAAAGUGCUAAGUGCUGCCCAUAUAAUGAAGGACAUAACAGUGGGACAAUUUGAUGAUGUGAUAGCUUGUGUGAUCACUGGAAAUUUCCUAGGGUUCAAUGACGAUGAGCUGCCUGUCAAAGGGAAGAAUCAUAACAAAGCUUUGCAUAUCUCCUUGAGAUGCAUAGACACCAUAUUAUCAAGAGUUUUGGUGGAUACAGGUUCUUCGUUGAAUGUUAUGCCAAAGACUACUCUAGUGAAAUUACCGUUGGAAGGACUAAUUAAGAUUGGGGAGGUUGACUUACCAAUUAAGAUUGGCCCGACUAUAUUCACUAUUACAUUCCAAGUUAUGGACAUACACCCCAGGUAUAGUUGUUUGCUUGGAAGACCAUGGAUUCACUCUGCAGGCGCAAUAACUUCUACCUUACACCAAAAGCUAAAAUUUAUCACGAAUGACAAGAUGAUUGUGAUUGGAGGGGAAGAGGAUAUCCUGGUUAGCCACUUGACUUCUUUCAGAUAUAUCGAAGUGGACGGCGAAAUAACUGAGACUCCAUUCCAGUCCUUGGAAGUGGUGAACACAAUGACCGUCUAACAGACAUCUGAGUCACCAAAAUUAGAGUCGUCGAUGGCCCCAUGGCAAGGAGCUAACACUGCUAUAGAGAAUGGGAAUGUCGAAGGUUGGGGCAAGAUGAUAGAAGUACGCAAUAAGUGGGACAAGUUUGGUUUAGGGUAUGAACCAUCAUCAGUUAAAGCCAAUAGUCAGCAUAACACGAAGUAGAUUCCUUCUGUUGAGAAGACAUUCACCAGCGUUGGCCAUAUCUUUGGUGAUCAAGUUGCAAAGAUCAACGAAGAAGUUGACGAUGAGGUGGUAUCGAACUGGAUACGGAAGGCAGGACCAGAUGAAGAACUAAAGAACUAGAAGAUUGUGGAAAUCCCCCAAUUCUUUCAAAAGUAAUUUUAUUAUUUUAAUCAAAACCCUGUGCUCUGCCCAAGGCACAGUGGCAUGUUAUAAGGCCUCCUUAUUUUAUAGAACAUUGAUUAUCAUUAAUAAAAUGACAAUUUGCAUUCAAAUUUUUGUUCUUUUACUUUCAUUUUUUUAUCUACAAUAAAAAUGGCAUGAAUUCUUAUUCAAGCACUUUCUAAAUAAACUGCAUAAAUCAUAACAUGCAGAGACACCACCGAGACCAUUGAUAACUACACUGAUAGGGUCUGGCGUAAUUUUGACUGUAUAAUUUACCAAGCCAAAGACGAAGUGGGGGAAGAUUGUGAACUCCCUAAAGAGUUGGCUAGGUUACUCAAACAAAAGGAGAAGGUCAUUCAACCACACCAAGAGGACGUCGAAGUUAUCAACCUCGGGACGGAGGAAGACAAGAAAGAAGUAAGGAUAGGCGCCACACUUCAAGAUGUAGUGAAGGAAAGACUGAUAGAGCUCCUCCACGAGUACGCCGAUGUGUUUGCUUGGUCGUACCAAGAUAUGCCCUUAGACAUUGACAUCGUUACCCAUAAGCUUCCGCUCAAAGAAGAAUACUCUACUGUCAAACAAAAGCUAAGAAGAACUCGUCCGGAUAUAGCUCUCAAGAUUAGAGAGGAAGUGAGAAAGCAGUUUGACGUCAGUUUCCUAGAAGUCUCUAAGUACCCACAAUGGGUUGCCAACAUCGUACCGGUACCAAAGAAAGAUGGGAAAGUCCGCAUGUGCGUUGACUACAGAGACUUAAACAGAGCUAUCCCCAAAGACGAUUUCCCAUAACCUCACAUUGAUGUACUGGUAGAUAACACAGCUCAGUUCUCCGUAUUUUCCUUCAUCGAUGGCUUCUCCGGGUAUAACUAAAUUAAAAUGGAUCCAAAGGACAUGGAGAAAACUACAUUCAUCACCCAUUGGGGCACCUUCUGUUACAAGGUGAUGCCAUUCGGUUUGAAAAAUGCAGGGGCAACAUAUCAGCGGGCCAUGGUGACUCUCUUUCAUGACAUGAUUCAUAAAGAGAUUGAAGUGUAUGUCGACGAUAUGAUUGCCAAGUCCCAAACGGAAGAUGAGCACAUCACUAACUUGUAUAAUCUAUUUGCUCGGCUAAGGAAGUUUAGGUUGAGACUUAACCCUAACAAAUGCACAUUUGGGGUUCAAUCUGGGACGCUUUUAGGCUUUAUUGUAAGCUAGAAAGGAAUCAAAGUAGAUCUUGACAAGGUCAGAGCCAUUCAGAACAUGCCUGCACCAAAGAUUGAGAAAGAGGUUUGUGGUUUCUUGGGAAGACUGAAUUACAUCUCCAGAUUUAUCUCUCAUCUCACUGCCACGUGCAAACCAAUAUUCAAGCUUCUAAGAAAAAAUCAAGGGGUGGAAUGGAAUGAUGACUGCUAAACAGCCUUCGACAAAAUCAAAGAAUACUUACAAGAGCCACCGAUUUUGAUGCCCCCUGCCCAAGGGAGACCCCUCAUCAUGUACUUAACAGUACUCGACGAGUCUAUGGGUUGUGUGUUUGGACAGCAAGACGAGACUGGUGAACAUUUUACUAUGUCUUUUACCACUUGAUAAACAAAUGAAUCAUCCACUUCAUGGCCCCAUAUCUCCUUAUUCCUGCAUUUUUUGAGGUUUCAUCACCUAGGAUAAAGUUGAAGUAUGAAGCAAGGUCUUUAAUAUGCUCAUUGGAGCAAAGAAAAUGGUGACUUGGGUCACAAGUUAUGGCCUUGGAAAGUUGGGUACUUGGACAUGAUUUUUAGGGACUUGGUAAAAAUUUCAAAUUCUCCAUCUUUGCCCUUUUGCAAGUAACCGUGAUUUUCUUGACUAAACUUGAUCAAAUGAAUUUAAUGAUCAUAUUUUCAUAAUCCUUGACUUGAAAAGUCCAUAGUUGACCAAAAAUCUUAAAAGUCAAACUUUGACUUUAAGCAUUUGUUGACUUUUUCAUCAGUUGUGUUCAAACUUUCAUCUGUUUAUGAACCUAACCUCUUGAGCCAUAUGAAUUGUAUGAGUGAGUUAUGAGGACAAAUUUUAAUACCUUCGAUCAUGCCUCAAUCCAUAGGAUCAUGCUUUGGUCAAAGAGUCAACAUUAAGCUGACUUUGACCAAAACCCUAAUUUUGAGUGUCAGAUGAAUUAUGACUUGAUGAACUUGAAUUGAGGUGAGCACAAACUUUGGUUGUUGAUGGAGGGAGACUUUUUAUCACCUUGAUAUAUCUAUGAUCCCACUAAGCCUUGAUUGAUCCAUCCCUUGUACUUCUUGAUGCCAAAACCCUAACUUACAAACAAAGCAAAGUAAGACAUGUAUUUGAUGACUUUGAUGUUAUGAAAAUGAUACAAAUGAUAAGGGAUCUUAAGGAUGAAAAUUAGGGUAUUACAGCUGCCCCUAUUUAAGUUUCCUCCAUCUAGAGAUAUGAAAGUUGAAAUCUUCGUCUCGACGAGAUUGGAGGGACUUGAAUAUUAAAAUGCAUAAUUUUUUACCCUAAGAUACCACAAUGAUGCUUAUGAUAUGAUAUGAAUGAAAGACUCUGAAUUCCGUGGUUUAUGAUGCCACAAGAGACACACUACUGCUGGAGAAACCAAGCAGAGAGAAGAGGGACUAACACCGGGGAAUAGCACCAAAGGCUAACAAACUGGGGAAAGUGUUUAAAUUACUGGGGGUAGAAUUAACACUCCACCGGGGAACGGGAAUGUAAGUUCUGAUAAUUGAAUGAGAACAACUUCCAAUAUUGAAAAAAGGAUCCAGUUUCUUCUUUAAUAGACUUUCAUUUGAUAAAAAAGGUGAUCACUAAAUGGGAUAUGGGAACCAAUGACUCCACCAAGGAUCAUCAAAAAAAAAAAUCUCCAGUAAAUAGAAAAUAGCAUCAUUUGAAAGGAAUCUCGUCAAACUUCUCUAGCGGGAAUUUUAGGGAGAGAAAGCCAUUUGAAUGAGGAUGAUUUUUUAUAACGGUUUUACUGGGUUGCCAUUAGUUGUUUUUAACUUCACUUUAUGGAAGAAAAAGUGAUAAUUUUUGACAAACUUCUCUGAAUGGAUUCUUCCGGAGAGAUAUCCAUUUGACGGAAGAGUAAUUGAUAUGUUGAUAAACUUCAAUUGGGGAAUGGACAAACUUCUCGGAGAAGAGGCUUCCAUAUAGCGUUGGAUAAUAAAUUUCAACCAUGAUUCCGAUUGUAUGCCACAAAAAUGGGUUUCCCUUUAUUAUUUAAUCAAGUAUUUCACUUGAAAAGGAUAAAUAAACUUCAACAAACUAUUUGGGUUGUAUGCCUCGAAUGAGUCUCAGUUUCUUUUUUAAUCAAGACUUCCUCUUGAAAAGGGUGAAAAAGCUCCAACAAACUUCUCUGACAGGAAUUUCCCGGAGAGAUAACCAUUUGGUGAAAGGACCUCACUGGGGAUAGACAAACUUCUCAAAAAAUACUUCUAUUUAUCGUCCAAAACGAAACAAGCUUCUCAAAUAAAAAGACCACCACUUGUUGUUGAAUAAAUUUCCACACGAUUCGAGUUGUAUGCCACGAAUGGGUUUCAAUUUCUUAUUUAAUCAAGUUUUCCAUUUGAAAAGGGUAAGUAAACAUUAACAAAUAAUUCGGGUUGUAUACCACGAACGGGUCUCGGUUUCUUCUUUAAUCAAGCAUUCCACUUGAAAAGGGUGAAAGAGAUCCAACAAACUUCACUGACAGGAAUUUUUUCGCAAAGAUAACCAUUUGAUGGAAGAAUAAGGAAGUUGAUAUGCGUGUUAACUUCACUAGGAAGAGACAAACUUCUCGGAAAAGAGACUGCCAUUUGCCAUUCGAAACAAAAAUUCGGGAACGAAACAAGCUUCUCAAAUAAAGAGACUGCCAUUGUUGUUAAGUAGGGAUUUCAAAGAAAAUGUUACAAGAACACUGUUGGCGAAUAAAAUUCGUCCUUGAUGGGAAACCAUAAACAAGUUUUCUUCAUGGGGGAUCGAAGUAUUUGAAGGUACAAAAUAAAUGUACCAUCAAUCUAGGUUUUUACAUCCUAGAGAGAUUCAAAAUUGGACAUGUUAGAUUUCAGGUUCAAUCCAGGAAUAAACUAGAGAGGGAUAGUCAAACAAGACUCUUCUCAGUGAGGAAUGAUCUUAAACCAAGGAUUUAUCCUAUCCAAGUAUGGAAAGGAGAGCUAAAGCAAAAUCUUCCACGAGGAAUAAACUCAGUGGGGAUUUAGAAAGGGUAUACACUUUCUGCUUAAGGUCGAUGACUCUACUGAAGAGAGGAAAUAUAUAUCACUUGGGGGAUAAACGCAACCAAGUUAAGUAAAGCAACACAGGGGAUGAAAUAUGAAUAUGAAAUAUGAAUUUAAUUACGUAUGACGUAUAUGCAUGCGUGAAUGUGUGUCAUGUUUAUGCUGACAAAAUAGAAAAUAAUAGAUGAACUAGAGAUGAAGUAAACAUCUCGGUACAAAUGAACACUCGACUAAUCUCAACAGGAUGGAAGCCUCACUGAAGAUAAAACAAGAAGUCGUCAAUGAAGUAAAGUUUCCUUCAAGCCCAAUCUUCUCUGGAGAUACCAACAUAAUGGUGCCAAAUGGAGGGAAGGUCUCAUAAAGAAGCAAGAAUCAUCCACUGCUGCAAUUCCAUUGAGGAUAAUGAAGACAUUAUUUUAAGAAAGCAUUGAGCUCCGCACAUUAGGAUCCGACCUUUUAUGGGAUUACUGUUAACAUUCCUUAUUGUAUUCAUAAAUUAAAAGAAACAAAUGUACACUUCUUAAAAGUAAGAACAAAAUAUUUUAAGCUUUUGUUUCAAGAAUUUUCUCAUAAAAAGUAAAAAAGUCAUUUUGCAAGAAGAAAGUAAAAUAAGAGUUGCAAACAAAUAGAUAAAGUCUCGAAUUUUAUUGAAGGAAUAGUAGUCCGCAAAUGGAGGGACCCCCUAGAUCAUUUACAAAGAUGAAAAAAAAUGGUAAAUACAGGAAAAGGCUACAUUAAAAUGCAAUGACCCCUAUUCUCCCUAUCAACUUUGAAAUCCAUUGCGUUCGAGUUUCUAGAGAGAGUAAUUCGAUUGGGAAGACUUUGACAGGUGAGGUCGCUUUCAAUUGAUCAAGUCUGGCCUGAUGCAAUUACUUGCUAUGAUCCCUAACUUUUGCCUAGAUUGUCCCUUACGGGUGUCAAUCUAUUGGGAUAAUCAUUUUUUAUUUAUGUCUCUAACUUUUGCCUGGACCGCCCUUUCGGGUUUUCAGCCUACUGAGACGCUCUUUCUUACCUAAGUUUCCCUUUCGGGUUUUCAACUUAUCGAGAUGUUCUUUUAUAUUUUAGGUGAAGUAUUUCUUGAUUGCAUCAGCAUUCACAGGACGAGGGAGCUCCUCACCAUCCAUAGUUAUAAGGAUUAAAGCACCACCAGAGAAAGCUCUCUUAACAACAUAUGGUCCUUCAUAAUUAGGAGUCCACUUGCCGCUAGAAUCAGUAAUGAAAGACAAGAUCUUCUUGAGCACGAUGUCGCAUCCGCGAAAAACAACCGACGGGCUGAAACAAAAACAACACAGAUCCACCACCGUGCGUUAUUUAUCCCAAAGAGGGAAAGGAAACGCUCAGAGUAAACCUAGGAAAAGCAUGGUCUCGCGACCAAAGAGAAAGGGUACGGGAGUCGGUUACGCAAGGGAGAGUAUUAGCACCCCAUCAGGUCCGUCGACUCGAGGAUCCACGCUCUAAAAGAAGAAAAGGUUGCUAACAAAAUCACACACACACCGAAGACAACACAGGUGGGGAAAGGAGGAGAGGCUCGCCUAGGAUAUCGCAUCCUAUGCCUACGUAUCUCGUCUGGAACGAGAAUCAGAGCUGCCGUAGUUCGGCUCACGCACGCCGAAACAAGACACACACAAAAUAGGCAAACUUGGAACCUGAACGCAAUCGAUGGACUAUCAUCGGCUUCCGAACAAACAAACACAAUCAGGAUACGGACAGCCAAUCGGGCUUACAUCCAUAUCCUGACACUCAGAGAAGAACAAACAAACACACUCAAAAAGAAAAAGUGCCCGGAGAGACCUCGCACGGUCUCCUGCUACGUACUCAUCUGGUAUGAGGAUCAGGGCGACGUAGUUCCCUGAACGGGAAAGAAAUUAAACCAGAUACAAAGGGAGACACACUAUAGGAGUUGGACUCGAGCCUAGUGUUAUCAUGCAUAUUGCCCUAUGUUAUGGUUUCUAUCUACUUGCACAACAACAAGUAAUCCUAACCAGGAAAAAGCAAGCAUACGCAUAAAAAACAAAGAAAAUAUUCACAUAGCACACACUAUAUCCAGUCAAGUGAGGCUCAAAAAGGGUAGACUGCAAGGCAAGUCAUCUGUACAGGGUAGUGUUCGCUCUUAACCCUGACAUUGAGAGUCAGGGUGAAGCAGAUGAAAGGUGAGUGAAGAUUAGACUUCACAGCUUUAUCCCUGGCCAGGAGAGCUUCAGACAAAGGAGCGUGGGUUCAGAAUGAGGAACCCUUAACACUCAGACUCUGACUCAACUGUACAACUGUACAGAUCUUGGGUUAAUGUCCCAAUGCCUCAACACAGUGGUGUGGAGAGGGACGAUCAACAGAAUAGGGGGAUGGAUUGCACAUCCUUGGGUUCCGCAAUUGCCUCAUAGAGGUCUUUACCUGCUUGGGGACAAAGUUAAACAAUCACAAACAUCGCCUCUUAAGGAGGACUUCAGACAGUUGCCUGGCUAAAUAACAAGCCAGGUCUUCCAGACUACAUGGAGACAAGAGACUCUACCUCAACUGGUUUAUACAACCAAGCAGCAGCACAGCAAGUUCUUAAAGAACUAAAGCGACUAUGGUAACUGAAAUCAAUCUAAUACAGUCAGUAUUCAAGUCACAAAGUCAACACAGACAAGUUAAGAACCAACAGACAAUGUAUAAUCAGACAAUGCAAUGUGCAAAGCAUAAUCAACUCAAGUGAGCCAAGCACAAGCUCAAAGCAAGUGAGCCAAGCAUCCUACAAAACACACAAGUUAGUUAACAACAAGCAUAUAAUCCAAACUCAAUCAACUUGAAUCAUUCUCCUUUAAGCCUUUGCAUCUCUUCCUGAAACACAAUUCAAAAGUGAGAAACAAGACCACUAGGCCAAGCCUAGGGUCCAAAGGGGAUGAAAAAUCCAAAACAUCAAGUGAAAAUUAAUCAAAAUCACAAUCAAACAAAUUAGAAACAAAACCAAUUGGUCCCAUGCUCAUACCAUUCACCAUUAUCAUUUUAUGAAAGAAAAGGCAUCAAACAUGCAAUUUGCAACCUCAAAGGACCAAACAGAAUGAUCAUCAUCAAAAGCAUACCAAAACACUUCAAUAAAUUCCACAAAAAUUCAAGUUCUAAACAGAACAAUAUCAAUGAAUAGCAUAUAAAAUUUCAGCUCAUUAGGAUCCAGGAAGUAGGUCAAUGAAAUUCAUAAAGUUCAGACAAGUUCAAACAAGCCAACACAUGGUAUCAAAACAAGCACCAACUUCCAUCAAUCAUAAAACAGUGACAAUACAUGAUAAAUGAAUGGGAUCAAAUCCAAAAUGACCUAUAAUGUGUCUAGAAUGCUCAUACCAAAUUUCACACUCAUCCAAUUAAUGACCAGAAUUUCACAAGCCACAUACAAACAUGUGUCACAAAAUAUCAACCAAUGACCAAACAGAGGGAAAAAUUCCAAUCAAAUAGGAAAUGCCAUCAAUAAAUCCAGGAAAAUUCCCAUGUGUUCUCAACAUACGUAUUCUCAAUCAUGCAAAUAUUUGGCUCAAUCCAAUGUUCACAAGCACAUCAAAUAAAAUCAUGAAAUUCACAAAGCAUGGUGUGACACAAAUUGUCACACCUCUAAUCAAAAAUUCAUAUCUCCUCAACCAGGGAUCCAAAAAUUGCAAACCACAUAUCAAAAUCACCAGCAAAGAGUCCAGAAUAAGCACAAAAAAUUUCAUCAAUUUCUAUGGAAGCAUCAUCAUUUUAUGAGUGAAAUGGUGAAACAUACACAAAUUGGACACAUUCAAUCAAACCCUAAGCAUUUUAUAUUUUCACACGUGCACAAAAAUCAUAAAAAUCACCUUUAAAAACUAAACAUCAUAAGGAUAAUAAUGCAAAAAAUCUCACAAAAUUUGGACAAGAAAUGAAUUAGUUAUGGAUUUUCUAAGUUCAUGGAUGAAAAUGAAAUAGAAAAUGAAAAAGAAAUGAAAUGAAAUUGAAUUAAUAUGUGAUAAUGGCAAAACUGUAAAUAUCAUGCGCCAGGGAUGAAACGCUGUAGUUUCAUUAAAUGGCGUGGCUUCACGCUAUUGGCUAGGCGCGGCGGGAAACAGAAUUCAAACGCAGGCAAAGGAAUUUGAAGAUCAAACGCGUUCUUAUGAGUGUUCUUCAUCAAGAACAUCAAUGGAAUUCCAGAAAAUGCAAAACGAGCAAAUCUCAACCAAAAUGACCGGUGAAUCACGUACAUCACGAAUACGCAACUAGUUUAACCUAAUUCUAACUAUGCUAAACAGAUCGAACGAAAAUAGAAUUGAGCAUCGAACUUCAAUUCAAGAUUUCUUAUCCAAUUCUCAACCAAAUCAAAAACUACAAGCAUCAUGAUGAUCUACAUCGAGAGAUCUACAAAAGCCAUAUCGUAGUUCAUGCAAUUAAGAAUUUCAAAAAAUUACCUUAUGAUAAUGGCAGAAGUUGAUUUGCGCGUUUCCAAGUCCAAUUCACCAAAACAGAAGUAGUUUAAGGCUAUGGAAGUUGAUUGGAAAAGGUUCCUCAGCUCAAUGAUGCUCCAGUUGCAAGAAUCAUGAAAUUGCCAUGGAAGAGUGAAGUUGCAACAGUCCAAGUUCUUCAAUGUUAUGGCCUUGAAUUGGUGAAACAGUCGUGUGCCAAUGCUUAUGGAGUGUAGAUCCAAGAAGAACGAACCAAAUUGAUGAAGAACUCUUGGAGAAAUGAUGGAAAAGUUGGAAAAAGUUUGAGAUAAUUUGAGAGGUUUUGGAUGAAAAAGUUUGUUAGAUCUUGGAGAAUGAAAUGUGAUUAGCAGAAAACAGUUAUGAUUAUGGUAUUUAUAUGUUGUACUAAUCAUACUGAAAGUGCAAUUAGCAAUUGGUUUAUUGUGAUUAAGUGAAAAUAAGGUGUGUGAAAAAAAUUUGGAAAAUAACUAACUUAACAAUCAAAAAACAGCUUCACACAGUGGAAAAUACUCAAAAAACUGAGUUUUCGCGCGAGCGGUCGACCAUAGGUCGGCUCAUAGCCUGCUAUGCGCUGACCCGUGGUCCAUGCGCUGACCCUUAUGGUCGACCAUAGGUCGGCUCAUAGCCUGCAAAUUUUUUUUUUUUUUUUUUUUUUUUUUUUAAAGAAGAGGAGGGCAAAUUUUGAGGUGUUACACACGAGGUUGCCUUCUCUGAACACACGAGGUCGAACCUUCUUAUCAAAAGCUUUCUUCAUCCUUUGUUAAUACGAUUGACCAUGGCAUAAAGCCUUCAUCCUCUUUUCUUCAAUUAAAUUCAACUGAUCAAAUCUACUUUGACACCAUUCAGCCUUAGACAAAUAUGCUUCCAUCAAGACUCUCAUUGACGGGAUCUCAACUUCCACGUGGAGCACUGCUUCCAUGCCAUAUACAAGAGAGAAAGGGGUUGACCCAAUUGAAGUGAGGACGGAUGUACGAUACCCAUGUAGAGAAAAAGGGAACAUCUCAUACUAGUCCUUCUAAGUUACAACCAUUUUCUGGAUGAUCUUCUUCAUACUCUUGUUCGCAGCUUCAACGGCCCCAUUCAUCUUGGGUUUGUAAGGAGAUGAGUUAUGGUGUUCAAUAUUGAAUUUUGCACACAUUUCCUUCAUCAUCUUGUUGUUUAGGUUUGAUCCAUUAUCAGUGAUGAUAUUACUUGGAACACCAUAACGGCAUAUUAGUUGAUUCUUGAUAAAUCAGACCACCACUUACUUUGUCACAUUGGCCUACGAUGCAGCGUCGACCCACUUGGUAAAGUAAUCAAUGGCCACUAGAAUGAAGCGAUGUCCGUUCAAAGUUUUAGGUUCUAUCAUACCAAUCAUGUCAAUUACUCACAUAGAAAAACGCCAAGGAAAGGAGAUAACAUUGAGAAGGGUUGGAGGCACAUGAAUCUUAUCAGCAUAAACCUGACAUUUAUGGCACUUCUUCACAUAUUUGCAGCAGUUAGAUUCCAUUGUCAGCCAAUAGUAACCUUCCUUUAACAUCCUUUUAUCCAUUGCGUGUCCAUUGACAUGGGUACCAAAGGAUCCUUCAUGAAUUUCCGUCAUUAGCAUGUCUACUUCGUGUCUAUCUAUGCAUCUGAGCAAGACCAUGUCAAAGUUUCUUUUGUACAACGCGCCUUCAUUCAGAAAGAAGGUACCAACCAACCUUCUAAGAGUCUUCUUAUAUUUGUUUGAUGCCUCAGACGGGUACUCUUGUCUUUGAAUAAAGAAUUUAAUAUCAUGAUACCAUGGUUUUCCAUCAAUGACCUCUUCUGCGGAGAACACAUGAGCAGGUCUGUCGAGGCGUGUAACAUUUAUUGUAUGCACAUCAUUCCACCAAUUCACAAUAAUCAUGGAGGAUAAAGUUUAUAGAGCAUCUGCUAUCUGAUUCUCCUCACGAGGUAUAUGACGAAAUUUAAUUUGGUUGAAGAAAUUUGACAGCCUCCUCGCAUAAUCUUUGUAAGGAAUCAAACCAGGAUGACGGGUUUCCCAUUCUCCUUUGAUCUGAUUAAUCGCCAAAGCUGAAUCUCCAUAUACGUCCAGAAUUUUGAUUCUUAGAUCGAUAGCCUCUUCUAGACCCAUAAUGCACGCUUCAUAUUCUGCCACGUUGUUCGUACAAGUGAAUGUCAAUCUUGUGGUAAAUGGAAUAUGAGAACCUUGAGGAGUGAUAAUGACUGCCCCAAUUCCAUUUCCAUAAGCAUUAACAGCUCCAUCAAAUAUCAAACCCCCACAGGAUUCUGGAUCUGGCCCUUCACUUGGCAACGGUUCAUCAUAAUCUUUAGCUUUCAAGUACAUUACAUCCUCAUCGAGGAAGUCAAAUUGAAUGGAUUGAUAGUUAUAAAUUGGCUGGUGAGCUAAAUGGUCAGCCAAGAUACUUCCUUUUAUUGCCUUCUGGGUAUGGUACUCAAUAUCGUAUUCUGACAAUAACAUCUGCCAACGAGUAAUUCUUCUAGUUAAAGCAGGCUUUUCAAAGAUGUAUUUGAUUUGAUCCAUUUUAGAGAUCAACCAAGUAGUAUAAUUGAGCAUAUAUUGGCGGAGAUGACAGACAGCCCAAGCUAAAGCACAACAAGUUUUUUCGAGCAUAGAGUAUCGAGACUCACAAUCUGUGAAUUUCUUUCUCAAAUAGUAAAUGGCAUGCUCCUUUCUUCCAAUUUCAUCUUGUUGACCAAGCACACAACCCAUGGAAUCUUCUAAUAUGGUCAAAUACAUAAUCAAAGGUCUUCCUUCCACUGGAGGAAUCAGAAUAUGAGGCUCCAACAGGUACUCCUUGAUACUAUCAAAAUCUUUCUAGCAAUCUUCAAUCCACACACAGCCUUGAUCUUUGCGAAGAAGCUUGAAAAUUAGCCCACAAGUAGUAGUCAUGUGAUAUAUAAAUCGGGAGAUGUAAUUCAAACGUCCGAGGAAUCCGCUGACUUAUUUCUCUGUUGUUGGUGCUGGCAUUUCUUGAAUGGCUCUGACUUUGUCAGGGUCCACCUCAAUACCUUGCUGACUGACGACGAAGCCUGGUAGGUUUCCUGAGCGGACACCGAAAGUACAUUUGUUGGGGUUUAGACUGAGUUUGUACUUCCUUAGAUGUUGAAACAACUUUAAUAAAUACUCAACAUGCUCUUCUUCGGUCUUGGACUUAGCAAUCAUGUCGUCCACAUAGACCUCUACUUCUUUGAGCAUCAUGUCAUGAAAGAGCAUUGUCAUGGCUUGCUGAUAGGUUGCACCAGCGUUCUUCAAACCAAAAGGUAUUACUUUGUAGAAGAAUGUUCCCCAAGGUGUAAUAAAUGAUAUUUUCUCCCUAUCUUCGUGCGCCAUUAUGAUCUGAUUGUAACCAGAGAAUCCAUCCAUGAAAUAAAAGACCUUGAAUUUGGCAGUGUUGUCGAACAACAUAUCAAUAUGAGGUAAACGGAAAUCAUCCUUUGGAUUGACUUUGUUCAAAUCUCUGUAGUCGACACGCGUUCGAACUUUACCAUCUUUCUUUGGAACGGGCAUUAUGUUGGCUAACCGUUGAGGAUACUCAUAUGUAACAAGAAAACCGACAUCAAUCUACUUUUGAACCUCUUCUUUGAUUUUGAGAGCCAUGUCUGGGUGUGUUCUUCUUAAUUUCUGUUUGACCGGCGGACAUUCUGAUUUCAACGGAAAAUGAUGCUCCAUAAUAUUAGUAUCAAGACCUGGCAUGUCCUGAUAAGACAAAGCAAAUACAUCUCUACAGUCUCUGAAAAGAUCUAUCAUUCUUUCCUUGACAUCCGGGAUGAGCGAUGCCCAAUCUUGACCUCCUUUCUAUCUUCUUCGGAACCCAAGUUAAUUACUUCUAUAGGCUCUUUGUGUGGCUGAAUGGCCUUUUCUUCUUGUUCAAGUAGUCGAGGAUCUCAUAUGGAAUCUCUUCACCACUUUCUUCUUCGGCCUCAAAUACAGGGAAAUCAAAGUUGGGAGAGGGCAUAGGGUCAUUGCUUUCAAUGGGUGUGACAUUGAUUAAUCUGCACACAUGAUUUAUGCUUGAUUUUUUAGGAUAAAAAUAAUGGAAUUUGCACGCAGAUAUUGAAAGUGAUUUUUGUUUGUUUGUUUUAGGUUACCAUCUUUCGAAAGGCAAAAAUAAAUAAAACGAAAUGGAAGACAAAAUGAACAUUUUUAUUAAUGAUAAUGGGAACUUGAAACAAAGCCCAACAAAAUACUCUUUCGUCUUGGGAAGAACAGAAGGAAUUUUUUUUUAAAUUGACAAUAAAAGAUUACUUAGAAACAUGAAAAAUCAUAGGAACGUCACCAACUAUCCAAUUUUGGCCGACCAUCCCAUGCGUCACGAAGCUUUGUACAUCCUCUUCGGGGUCUUCUUCAAUGACAACAUUUGUUUCAGGUUGAGUAGGAUUGAUGAAUCCUCCACUUCGGAAAGUUUCUUGAAUAGGACAGAGAACUGCGUCUUGUUGAGAAAACUUUGAAGAUGUAGUUGAGAAGCCAAGGACUUCAGGAAAUUUGUUUUCAGGGAGACUCAUAACUUGUCCUCAUCCACUCGUUGAGCUAUCUUCGACUAACUGUCGUGCAUCAUUAAAGGAACGAAUGGAAGCUACAUUAUAUUAUACGUUCUCGUUAGCAACAAAUAGAGUUUGAAACUGGGUUCCAAUCUCGUCCUCAGCAUCGACGAAAGAAAAAGACGAUAGGUGACUCACCACUAAAGCUUCUUCUCCACAUAAUGUAACUAGUUUCCCCUUUCUUACAAACUUGAGCCUCUGGUGAAGAGUUGAAGUGACAGCCAUGGCCUCAUGGAUCCAAGGGCGACCUAACAAACAACUAUAAGAAGCAUGGAUAUCCAUCACUUGAAAUGUGAUUUGAAAGGUAUGUGGGCCAAUGGUCAUGGGGAGAUCCACCUCGCCGAUUAAAGUCUUUCUCAAGCCGUCAAAAUCUUUGACAAUAACCCCACUAGAUCUUACAGGAGCUCAUUGAAAAGUAAAUCUAGACAAAGUUGAUUUUGGCAUGACGUUGAGUGAAGAACAUGUGUCCACCAAUACACCGGAUAGAGAAUCAGUAAGGUAAUUCAUGGAAAUAUGCAAAGCCAUGUUGUGAUCCUUGCCUUCUACUGGGAGUUCUUCAUGACUGAAGAUCAAAUUGUUGCAGGCAGUUAUGUUGGCGACGAUGUUGUCAAAUUGGUCAAUCGUUACAUCAUGGUCGACAUAAGCUUGCUCGAGCACCUUUUGUAGAGCCUCUCUAUGAGCCUCAGAACUCAUCAACAGGGAUAAAACAAAUAUUUUGGAAGGGGUUUGUAGGAGCUGAUCCAUAAUUUUGUAUUCGACCUUCUUGAUUAAUCUCAAAACUUCAUCAAAUUCUGAAUUGAUAUUAGCCCCACUGGACUUUUACACAAUAUUAGGUUUAUUGCUCACAGUCGACGCCUCAACUUGCGUUUUCUUCCCAACUGAAGCUUCAACAUUUCUUGGUGGUACCGUAGUGAAUACACGCCCGCUUCUUGUGACCCCACUUACAUCGGCAAUGUUGACGACAAAAGGCAUAGAGGUUAGAGGAACCUUUUUCCCAUCUUUGAUCAUGGUAGCUUGGUACUUGUAGGGUACGACUUUGUCAGAUUGGUACGGAGUUGGGCCCGGUAAGUAGAUAACCAAAGGAGACUUUGUAGAGCCGCGACUAUCGAAUGUGAUCUCCAAGGGUUCAGGAACAUUGAACUGAGGGAUUAUAACAUUGACAUUGUUCUCGAGAUUUCUGGGAUGGACAACGGUGAUAGUUCUUGCAUCCAAUAAUCUUUGGAUAUCCUGUCGUACAAGGGAACAUGCACGUGGGUCUAUCGAAUAAACUUCACAGGUGGUAUAAUCAUGUGAUGGAACAAAAGCAAGCCGAAAUAAACUUUUGUGCAUCUCAACCAAAGAUCCUCUCACAAAUCUCACAUCGUAGAUUUGGUAAUUACCCUGACAGCCCUAAACCAUAUUGACUUGAUUGCAGUUCCGGUUUCUAUCAACUCGGAUAAGCCUGCUGUCUAUUUCUUUUUGCAAGUCUUCCCUUACAAUGCGACAACCACGAAGAGUUGUACGACAAAGUUCGCAAGCCGCAUAGUUGUGUGGCGUCAUAUAGAUGAGCUCACCCAACUUAAGGUGCAUUUCAACCAAAUCUCCCUCUAGAUAGCAUACAUCAUAAACUCUGAAAGUACCAGGACGACCUUCCACCAUGUUGAUAGAAUAUCCUCCAUGUUGAGGUAGUGGAUUGACUUGUACAUUUGGAUUGACAUCUCUGAAAGAUAGAAUGCCGCUUUUGAUCAAUCUUUGGACGUCAGACGUCAAGCCAUAACAGUCUUCUAGACUGUGUUCGGGUUCCCCUUGGUGGUAAGCGCAAAACUGGUCAGCUUUGUACCAAUACGGAAGUUUCUCUGGAACAGGGGGGAGGUCUAGUUUGAAUGUGUUUCUUGUCGACCAAAGAUGGGAAUAGUUCUGUGUAAGUCAUAGGUAUUUGAUCAAAUUGUGGCCUUCUUUGAACUUGGUUAUUAUUGUAUUGUGGACGGGCCUGUUACUGAGGUCGUUGUUGCGGUUACAAGGUAUUAUGUUAAAUGUACUAAGGUUGUUGUUGUGUAAAUUGUGGUUGUUGUUGUCGUUGUUGAACAUGUGGUUGAGGUUGUUGUAAGAACUGUGGUUGGUAAGCUGGAGCUACCUUUGCAAUAUGUUGUUGUUGAUAUCUUUGCCUUAGUCUUCUGUGUACCACCUCACUGACGUCUUGCUCUUUCUUCUUAGGGAACCCAACUCCGAACUUUCUGAUGCCGCUAGAUGAACCACCUUCUUUAACCAAUCGUCCCUCACAACCACCUUCUUCGAGACGCAUCCCCAUAUUUACCAUAUCAGUGAAGUCACUUGGUGAACUUUCUAUCAUUCGUUCAUAGUAGAAAGAACUUAGAGUCUUCAAGUAGAUCUUAGUCAUUUCACUUGCUUCGAGAGGAGGACAAAUCUGGGCGGCAGCCUCGCGCUAUCUUUGUGCAUAUUCUUUGAAAGUUUCCUUGUCUCUUUGGGACAUAGCACGGGGUUGAUCUCUGUCCGGCGCCAUGUCAAAAUUGUACUUGUACUUCCUGAUAAAAGCUUCACCGAUAUCAUUGAAUGUGCGGAUAUGGGCGCUAUCCAAGUUCAUGUACCACCUGAGAGCGGCACCAGUCAGACUGUCUUGAAAGUAGUGAAUCAACAACUGGUAGUUGUCAGUUUGAAUGGAUAUUUUUCGGGCAUACAUAGUUAAGUGGCUCCUUGGACAGGAAUCCCCCUUGUACUUUUCAAAGUCAGGUACUUUGAAUUUGGCAGGUAUUUUGACAUUUGGCACAAGGCAAAGAUCGUGGGCAUUCUUCCCAAAUAGAUAUUUUCCCCUAAGGGAUUUAAUAUCUCUUUGCAUCUCAACGAAUUGAUAUUUGAAAUCGUCCAUUUUCUCAUAUACUCCCAUACUCUCACUUGGAGUGGCGUGAAAUAUGGGCUCUUCGUGGUAUGGAGUAGUGUGUAUCACAGGAGGUGGCACCAACAUGACAUCAGACACUACGGGAGCUUCAGGAAAUUAUGGGUGGUAACCUUUCGAUGUACAAUUUGGUGGCAUGCACCAAGGGAAAUUGGGGUGCAUCUGAUAUUGAUGAGCACUCACAGGUGCCACAUAAAUGGGCGUAGAUACUACUUCUGAAAUUACAGUUCUUUGAAUGGUCUCUGGGGAUGGUUGAUUCUAAGCAGUCACCAGCGUUUCCAUCAUUGUUGCGAGUCUCUCCAAAUUGCUUUUGAGUGAAGUAACCUCUUCCCCGAGAUCCUGAUUUUCCUGUUCAAGUUGUUCCAUCCUUUUCUAACGACUAGCUCGAGUGUUGUAUCGGUGAAACAGUUUGUCUAUUGGAGUGGAAGACAAGGAUAAGUCUUGGGAAUGCAAAAAAAUGUAAUGUUUAGAAUGAUGCAUGAUGUGUAAUGCAAAUGUCUUUUAAGGAACUUUAAUAAAUAAAAUUAUUGCAAACAUCAUGGAGAGAAGCAUUACUCUUUUGAUGGCUAAAAAAAAUCUCAUUUCAUUAAUAUUGGAAAGAUUACAAUUUUUGAAGUACACUUUCAUAAGAUAAAAGGAAAACAACUAGAAUCCUAAGGAAGUUGCUGAGAAGAAGAUAUGAUCCCUCUUUGUAGCUUCCUAUUAAGCUCCUUGAUUUGGUCCUUCAUCUGAGUCUUUUCAACCACUAGCUUGUCGACAAUCAUCUUCCAAGCGCCUGAGGUUGGAGGAUUAUCUUUACCAGGAACUGGCAUAAUACUAGAGGAAGAGCUCUUGCACCUUUCUUUUCUUAUUAACAAGAUCUUCGUCAUUCCUCUGGUUCAAGUGUCUUUGAAGUUCUUCAUUCUCUGUGCGAACAAUCUGAUACUUAUUCUUCGAAGCAUCCCUUUCUCGUUGCACCCUAGUCAAAGAAAUCUUGAGUUUCUCCGCGUCAGCUAUGAAAAUGAGAGAAGGUUCUUUAAAAGUUAAAGACAAAGUCUCUUGUCGAGGAUAAGGCAUUUUCAAACUGAAGGCCCUAACCUGCACCCAUUGGAGAUAACGCUCCAAAGAGAUGCAAUCUAGCUUUCCUAGAACUUCUCUUCUUUUCUUAUGGACGUGGCGCCAGGCAUGCACAAUAUUUUCUUUGAAUGCUUAGUUGUCCUCUCCUUCCUUGAAGAAGAAACUCUCUAAGAAGAUGGUGUUGGGCUUGUCCUUCAUUGGGUAUCCAAACUAACGGCGAGCCAAAAUCGGGUUGUAGUUAAUGCCCCCCUUUGUACCAAGAAGAGGUACAUUAGGAAACUUACCAUAACUAUCAAUAAUUGUCACCCCCUCAUAAGCGCAAUCAAACCAAUCAAUGUCAGAUUGAGUGAGAGACAUAAUCUUUUGUGACCAUAGCAAAUCAUCAUUAAGGUCCCAAAAUGAAGUAGAUCGAGGCAAAUGCGAAAUAAACCACUUGUAGAGCAGAUUUACAAAACAUGUGAUCAUUCCUCCCUUAUGAAAAUUCCUGAGAUGGACUGAAUGGUAAACAUUGGCAAGUAAGGUAGGUAUUGGAUUUCCAAUUAAGAAUAUUUUGAUAGCGUUAAUGUCAACAAAAUCGUCAAUAUUAGGGAAGAGGAAUAAUCCAUAGAUGAGAAAUUCAAGAAUAGCCUCAAAAGCAUCCAUACUAUUCAUGCUAGCAAAAUAACGAGCUUCCUCUAUGAAGAAUUUAGCAGGAAAGCCAAGAAUUCCUCCUUUUGUACUUAGAUUAGCUUUGAUCUCAGACAUCUUUAAAUGAGUAGCUUCUGCAAUGUCUUGAUGCUUUAGAAUUUCUUCUAAACCGAAAAAGGGAACUUGAUCUUGGAUGAGUAAGCCAAUCAAGUGAGAAAACUCCUCCAAGGUAGGCAUAGGCUGAUAAUCUGGAAAGGUAAAGCAUCGGUACAAUGGAUCAUUGAAUUGAACCAAUGUAGCCAAAAUCCCCUCCAUCAUGUUGGUCUUCAAAAGAGGUAGAAGUCUCUCAUAUCUUCCUUUGAAGUCUUCAGGAUUAACCACCAAAUAUCCUAGUUGUCUUAAAUAUUCCAAUUUUGGACUUUUGAAAGUGUACUUUUGAGUUCUUCUUCUUCCAAAUUCCAGAGUGAAAGAUUCCUAUGAUAAUUGCAACAAAUGCUUUUAAGUUCUUUGAAGACUUUAAUUAAGAUGAUGUUAAUGAAUGCAUGAAUUUAUGAAUGCACAAACACAUCAAGAUCAACAAACAUAAUCAAGAUAUCAAAUACAUGGGGUUCAUAGGUUUGACUUCACGAGCAUGAGGACAUGGGACUAACCAUCCCAACAGGGUAAGUGCUAAGGGUUUAUCAUCAAGAUAGGAACCAAGGUUCUAAGAAAGUUCCCAGAGUCAUAAUCCCAUCUUUCGGAUAUUACCGGUUUGGACAAUUACUUGUCAACCAAUAAUAUUCUCAAGAGAAACUCAUAUGAGUGUAGUAUCAUGUAUCAACUAAUUUAGGUUUACACCUUCAUAGUCACCACACUACGUCCUAACAAGGCUUAGUAGGGUAAAGGGAUACUACAGUCAUCAGCUUCUCAGGCUCCCAGGUUAAAGAUAACAAAUGUCUUCAAGAUUGCUCGUUCAACAAAUACCAUCCCUAAAGGGGCCUCCACUGAUUGGGGGAUUCUCAAGUUAGCUUGUUCGGGAUUACUCCAUCCAAGCCAACUUGACUAUACCACCCUCCUAUCUCAAUAUGCACUCAAGUCCAGGUUAGGACUUAUCUUAACACAAAGAUCACCCAAGCCAAUAUAAACAAACAAAUAAUAAAACAUAGAUGGAAAAAAAUAGGUAUAACCCUUUUGGGAAGCAUUCGUCCCUAGUCAAGUCGCCAUUUCUAUCGCGGUGAGAAUCGGAGACCAAGCUAUUGGAUUAACUUGACUCACAAAACAUUGAUAUCACCACCAAACUUAUAUUUUACCAAAGGAAGGGGAAAAGGUUCAAAAUAAACAUGCAUAGCAAAUAGUAAAACUAGGAGAAAAGCAAGUAGAGAUCGAAGGAACGGAGGUUAGUUAUACAAAGGGAAGGUAUUAACUCCCUAAACAUAUAUAGUACUCUACAGGAACCUUUUGAUUUUAUCUAUGUUUUUAAGAGUUGUUUGCAAUUUUUUAAAGAUCCAUUGACUAAAAGUAAGUCAAGGGUUAUGUUUG